GAGGCUUAACACAUGCAAGUCGAGGGGCAGCAUUUCAUUUUGCUUGCAAACUGGAGAUGGCGACCGGCGCACGGGUGAGUAACACGUAUCCAACCUGCCGAUAACUCGGGGAUAGCCUUUCGAAAGAAAGAUUAAUACCCGAUGGUAUAAUCAGACCGCAUGGUCUUGUUAUUAAAGAAUUUCGGUUAUCGAUGGGGAUGCGUUCCAUUAGGCAGUUGGUGAGGUAACGGCUCACCAAACCUUCGAUGGAUAGGGGUUCUGAGAGGAAGGUCCCCCACAUUGGAACUGAGACACGGUCCAAACUCCUACGGGAGGCAGCAGUGAGGAAUAUUGGUCAAUGGGCGCAGGCCUGAACCAGCCAAGUAGCGUGAAGGAUGACUGCCCUAUGGGUUGUAAACUUCUUUUAUAUGGGAAUAAAGUUUUCCACGUGUGGAAUUUUGUAUGUACCAUAUGAAUAAGGAUCGGCUAACUCCGUGCCAGCAGCCGCGGUAAUACGGAGGAUCCGAGCGUUAUCCGGAUUUAUUGGGUUUAAAGGGAGCGUAGGUGGACAGUUAAGUCAGUUGUGAAAGUUUGCGGCUCAACCGUAAAAUUGCAGUUGAUACUGGCUGUCUUGAGUACAGUAGAGGUGGGCGGAAUUCGUGGUGUAGCGGUGAAAUGCUUAGAUAUCACGAAGAACUCCGAUUGCGAAGGCAGCUCACUGGACUGCAACUGACACUGAUGCUCGAAAGUGUGGGUAUCAAACAGGAUUAGAUACCCUGGUAGUCCACACAGUAAACGAUGAAUACUCGCUGUUUGCGAUAUACAGUAAGCGGCCAAGCGAAAGCAUUAAGUAUUCCACCUGGGGAGUACGCCGGCAACGGUGAAACUCAAAGGAAUUGACGGGGGCCCGCACAAGCGGAGGAACAUGUGGUUUAAUUCGAUGAUACGCGAGGAACCUUACCCGGGCUUAAAUUGCAUUUGAAUAUAUUGGAAACAGUAUAGCCGUAAGGCAAAUGUGAAGGUGCUGCAUGGUUGUCGUCAGCUCGUGCCGUGAGGUGUCGGCUUAAGUGCCAUAACGAGCGCAACCCUUAUCUUUAGUUACUAACAGGUCAUGCUGAGGACUCUAGAGAGACUGCCGUCGUAAGAUGUGAGGAAGGUGGGGAUGACGUCAAAUCAGCACGGCCCUUACGUCCGGGGCUACACACGUGUUACAAUGGGGGGUACAGAAGGCAGCUACCUGGUGACAGGAUGCUAAUCCCAAAAGCCUCUCUCAGUUCGGAUCGAAGUCUGCAACCCGACUUCGUGAAGCUGGAUUCGCUAGUAAUCGCGCAUCAGCCAUGGCGCGGUGAAUACGUUCCCGGGCCUUGUACACACCGCCCGUCAAGCCAUGAAAGCCGGGGGUACCUGAAGUACGUAACCGCAAGGAGCGUCCUAGGGUAAAACUGGUAAUUGGGGC
rnacentral:rRNA from 1 species